UAUAAUGGUUACGAUCCCUAGUUAAUAGUACACAAAAUUGCCAAAUAUUUCUAAUAGUGAUCAAUUCCGUAUUUAGUAACGUAACAAAUAUCAACAUUAUACAAUUACUUUAAAAAUACUUAAAAAAUAAUGAGUAAUCGUAUCGAUUUUAAUAAUAACUAGUUCAAUCGAUACUUCCAUAAAAUUGAGAAGCACUGUCGGUUAUUGGGUUACAGUUUCACGCUCACGGUGGUCUGUCACCUUCCUGUGCAACCUUCGCGGAGGAACAAACACGUCUUCAGCGAUCGACAGAAAUUAAUCCCAUUAAUCCCUAUUGCGAAAGUGUAAAAGUGGAUACUUCGAAGGGAAUAAGAAAAAGGGAAGAAGAGAAAGGAAGGAACGUGCGAAAUUUGGCGCCCGAUAGCGCCACGACGGUGCAUUCUCAAGGAAAAUAAACCGUUCGCCGUCUGACUAUUUGAUUUAUGAGCGCGGGCGACAACCUACCGCACGGCAUACCGAAAUAGAUCAAGAGGAAAACCAUUGCAAUGCAUGCGCGAGGUAAAUCUGUCGCGGGAACAACCACUGCACCUUAUUUUCUAUCAGACAUCAGUUUAUACAUCUUGUUUAGUAGCAUAACGGGAGCGAAAGAAAUACUAAGAAUCACACAGAAGAAGAGAGAGAAAGAAGGGAAACGAGAGUGUCACGUACAAUCUUACAGGUCUUGAUGUUAUCUCGAAUAAGUUAGAUGCAUCGGAUAAUUUCCUGAAAAUAAGGUUCACGUCAUCGACGUAAGGAUCAUUUCACAUCGUCAACCAUUUUAUUGAGUUUCAUAGAACAAUUAUGACUGCGGUAAAAUGGUACUUGAAAAUGGUACUUUCCCCCUAUAUCCAUAACCAUACUGUAUCUUUUAAUUUAAUUACCUGGUAAGAAAUAAUUUAACCUCGUUCUUUUUCUUGCCUUUUUUUCGAUUCACAAAUGCUUGAACGCAUUCGUCACCUCUCAUGAAUUUCCGCGCGUCGAUAAAUCUCCAGAAUUUUUUCACAGCGCGGAUUAAUUUGCGGAGCGAGUUCGUACGUCUGUAGAAGUUGGCAAGGGAAGGAGGGAGAAUGUUGAAAAACGCGGUAAAAGUACUCGACAUGUGACGAACAGACCGUGAAGGAAGGCAAGGUACAUAUACAUCGCGUUACGACAAAUCUACACAGUGACUCAUAAAUACUGAUGAAUCGGGAACGAUGGGGAGAAAGAUGUUGCGACCCUCCUACAGGGAAAUCAAUUAAUCGUUUACAAAGUCGGGGUUGUCGGGUGACGUUAAGACGUAUGGAUAAGCCACGGGAAUCUAAGAUUGAUUUUUGCGAUUGAUACAUUUAUUCCUCGAACCGGAUUCUUCCAUCUUUCUCUCUCGUAUCUUCUUUGUACCGUGACUGUUACUUCCGUUCAAGGUGCUGUUCCACGAAACGUCAAAGAAGAAUGAGAAUCAAGGAAGCAACGUACUGCCUUGAAAGGAUAACACGCUCACAUGCAUACCUAUACCUUAGUAUAGCGGUAAUAGAAUUGCUACCGUAUUACACGUUUGAAUGAGUGUAAUUUCUUUUCAAAUCAAAUAAUCGAAACGAAGUAAAUGAUUAAAAUUAAUUAAGAAUUCUUUAUCAAGAUGAAAGAAAAUAUCUUAGGUAAAUCACCCCAUAUAUCAAUAUGCACGCACAUACAUCGCGUGGGCGCUGACCAUUAAGGUGUCGUUACGACAUCAGUCGCAGAAUACACACGUUUGUAAAUAUCACUUUACAUGGAUUACAUUUGAACGUCUGUAUGUUGUACGAUCCAUUCCGUAUUUGGGCUACCAGCGUUAGAGUGGAUCUUCGUACACUGGACAUACAUCACGAACAAGUCCUUAUAUGCGCACAUUGUAUAAGAGAAAAUGGAAAAACACAAGGAAAGAUUUCCAAUCCUUUUUUCACAUUGGAUCAAUUAAUAUAGAGUUUCAGUUCAUCGAACCGAAACUCGAGGGUUCACGACGCUAGUAAACUCCUGUUUGCAUUGAUCCAUAAUUGUUCUGCAGUUUACUGCACAUCAGUAUAAUCGUAUCUCGGGCAAAGUUAACUGGUUUAUUUGAGGAACGCACCCUUUUAAGACCCCUUUCAGUGUUUGUAUACUUCUCCACCAUGACGAGCCGGAAAUGGAUCUUUAUAUCUAACUAGACGAACGUAUGUAAUGAUCAAAGCAAACAAAAAGAAUAAUAAGGGAGAUAAUUCUGGCCAUAUUUUUAUCAUACGGUGCGAUGGUAAAAAGAAUAGGACGUUUAAUUUUUUGCGUGGGUAGGUCUGCUGAGAUAGAUUAACAUAGCGACGCUGAAUGUUUAGCACAUGCAUUUCCUAUCACGAUAAAAUCGUAAGGAGAGGCCUGCCGCAUUGUUGGAAUACUCCGCUGAAGUGUUUAAACAUAAAUGCUUUCAGCAGUGUAACCUCUUUAAUGAAUCUGUAAUAUAGAAGUCCGAAACUUUUAUUUUCGCUUGUAGCGUACUAUGCAGUAGAACAAUGAUCUCUAGCCCUGGCUUAAAUUUCUUCCAAUUCAUUGCUACUUUUAUCAAGGGACCUAUACAGUUCUCGUUAUUACGACAAGGGAUGUGUCUCCAUCCAAAUCGUUGCAAUCGGAAAUACACCCCGAAUCACCCCCUUAUACUACCAUCCUUCUCUACAUCAAUAAUAGCCACCCGAAAUGCAGUGCUUCUCAACUUUAUCUUUUAGAACACUUAGAAAAUAGGCAUUAAUCGUUAGAAAUACUUGUUCACAUACACACGAUGAUAUCGUUCAUGCAUUCGUUCGUCUUGAUCGACAUAUAAAGUCUCGACUCUUAAACGGCUCGUUAUUUAAUUCGAACUUGCGCAGUGAUAAAUGAUUUAAUUAAACAACUACUUACAUAAUAAUACUACUUGAUGAAAGUAUGUUGCGCAUAACAAAAACAUAAACGAUCUCUGUUUUGCAAUUUGUAACGUUCUCUAUAUGCGCGUCUAUGCGUGUAUACGUAGGUAGAUUUAUAAGAUUUAACAAUCGGAUUAUAAAUGUAUAUUAAUAUCUAGAAUUCGUAACUUUGUUACUCGUUUGACUAAAAAAUUAUAUCAGUACCUUGCAGCUUGAAGUCUAGGCUAUAAGUUUCAAGCAUUUUCAAAGACGUAAUCUCUAAUAUUAAGAGAUUAGCAAACAGAAAAUCGCAGAAUGGUUUCGUAAAUAUUUGCUUACUACUAGAUUAGACGGGAUGCAAACAGUGGUAACUGUAAAACGAUACGCAAUGAUGUUUCCCCGUUUCCAUUCUCAUCGAUAAAACAUCAGACAAGACAUAAUAAAAUCACUUUGCACUUUUAGCUAUAGAAAUGAAUGAAAAAGUGUUUUCAUAAUAUAUCUGCUAGUGACAGCCUUAUCCUCCACGGACAACUACAUUUUCCCUUUCAUACGUGUAAAAAUAAUAUAAAUUAAUAUACCUUCAUACCAAGAACAAGUUAGACUUACCCAAUACGAUGAAUGUCAACAAAGCCAACGGGAUAGGAAGAAUACGCGGCUCCAUUGGGCCAGCGGGUGUCACAGACUCCGACG